UGAANUUAAAGGCAGUGGCUCAACCAUUGUAGGCUUUGGAAACUGUUUAACUUGAGUGCAGAAGGGGAGAGUGGAAUUCCAUGUGUAGCGGUGAAAUGCGUAGAUAUAUGGAGGAACACCGGUGGCGAAAGCGGCUCUCUGGUCUGUAACUGACGCUGAGGCUCGAAAGCGUGGGGAGCGAACAGGAUUAGAUACCCUGGUAGUCCACGCCGUAAACGAUGAGUGCUAGGUGUUGGGUCCUUUCCGGGACUUAGUGCCGCAGCUAACGCAUUAAGCACUCCGCCUGGGGAGUACGACCGCAAGGUUGAAACUCAAAGGAAUUGACGGGGGCCCGCACAAGCGGUGGAGCAUGUGGUCUAAUUCGAAGCAACGCGAAGAACCUUACCAGGUCUCGACAUCCCGAUGCCCGCUCUAGAGAUAGAGCUUUACUUCGGUACAUCGGUGACAGGUGGUGCAUGGUUGUCGUCAGCUCGUGUCGUGAGAUGUUGGGUUAAGUCCCGCAACGAGCGCAACCCUUAUUGUUAGUUGCCAUCAUUCAGUUGGGCACUCUAGCGAGACUGCCGGUAAUAAACCGGAGGAAGGUGGGGAUGACGUCAAAUCAUCAUGCCCCUUAUGACCUGGGCUACACACGUGCUACAAUGGCUGGUACAACGAGUCGCAAGCCGGUGACGGCAAGCUAAUCUCUGAAAGCCAGUCUCAGUUCGGAUUGUAGGCUGCAACUCGCCUACAUGAAGUCGGAAUCGCUAGUAAUCGCGGAUCAGCACGCCGCGGUGAAUACGUUCCCGGGCCUUGUACACACCGCCCGUCACACCACGAGAGUUUGUAACACCCGAAGUCGGUGAGGUAACCGUAAGGAGCCAGCCGCCUAA
rnacentral:rRNA from 1 species